UUACGGCCAUAUCACGUUGAAACACCUGUUCUCGUCUAAUCGCUGAGGUUAAGCAACGUCGAGCCUGAUCAAUGCCUAGAUGGGUGACUGCUGGGGAAUACCAGGUAUUGGAU